rnacentral:lncRNA from 1 species
AACGUUAAAGUCUGAAGAGCUGCCUCCUGCCUUCCCGCGGGAUUGGAGGCUUUCCUACCGGUCAGUGCUAGAUCUGCGGAAAUAGCACCAAGCUUAGGACAGCACUGUACAACCUUGGACUUCCUUCACAGGACUGGAGAAGAGGAGCUUUCCCCAAACUCCAUGGUGCCCAUCAUCCAAGGGUCUUUGGAUUUUCUUCCACUGAUAAGGGAAUGUAUUCAAGAGCAGAAAAAGAGAAUACAAAAGUUCAGCUCUGUCCUGAGAACUAAAUGGCACCUCCAAUGGAACAUUUCUCAUGUCUACAUCAAAAUCAUACCAAUGUCUUUGAAAGUCCGUGCUCUCCCAUCUCCUAAGAAGAAGAAUGAAGACUGCCUUCUUUUCCACAGCCAAACAUAUUCCCAGGCUUGUCAUUUGAAUGAUGGUUCUCAAGCUACUCCAGGAAAAUACUCCUCCUUCAUCCAGUUCCAAAGAGAUUGCCAGUUUCUUAACUGCUUCUCUGGGAUUCUAUUCCACCAGCUCCAGGGAAAAUUCUAAUCCCAUGCCCUGUCAAUCACUCUUAUGUCCUAAGUCUUAUUUCCUAUUGUAACAGUGUCUAUAUAUUUUGUGUGAU